CACCGCGUAUGGAACCUACCUUGUACAGGGGAAUAGCCUUUGGAAACGAAGAUUAAUGCCCCGUGGUACCACGCUCCGGCAUCGGGAUGUGGUUAAAGCCUUCGGGCGGUACAAGAUGGCCAUGCGUCCCAUCAGCUUGUUGGUAAGGUAACGGCUUACCAAGGCUACGAUGGGUAGGGGCCCUGAGAGGGGGAUCCCCCACACUGGUACUGAGACACGGACCAGACUCCUACGGGAGGCAGCAGUGAGGAAUAUUGGACAAUGGAGGAGACUCUGAUCCAGCCAUGCCGCGUGCAGGAAGAAUGCCCUAUGGGUAGUAAACUGCUUUUAUACAGGAAGAAAAAGAGCUACGUGUAGCUUACUGACGGUACUGUAAGAAUAAGGACCGGCUAACUCCGUGCCAGCAGCUGCGGUAAUACGGAGGGUCCGAGCGUUAUCCGGAAUUAUUGGGUUUAAAGGGUCCGUAGGCGGGCCGAUAAGUCAGGGGUGAAAGUUUGCAGCUCAACUGUAAAUUGCCUUUGAUACUGUUGGUCUUGAGUUAUAGUGAAGUUGCCGGAAUAUGUAGUGUAGCGUGAAAUGCAUAGACACUACAUAGAACACCGAUUGCGAAGGCAGGUGACUAACUAUAUGCUGUCCGGGGCCUUGAGUCCUGGGCGGCCAAGCGAAAGUGAUAAGUAUCCCACCUGGGGAGUACGUUCGCAAGAAUGAAACUCAAAGGAAUUGACGGGGGCCCGCACAAGCGGUGGAGCAUGUGGUUUAAUUCGAUGAUACGCGAGGAACCUUACCAGGGCUUAAAUGCAUAUUGACAGGUCUAGAGAUAGAUUUUCCUUCGGGCAAUUUGCAAGGUGCUGCAUGGUUGUCGUCAGCUCGUGCCGUGAGGUGUCAGGUUAAGUCCUAUAACGAGCGCAACCCCUACCGUUAGUUGCCAGCAUGUCAUGAUGGGGACUCUAACGGGACUGCCGGUGCAAACCGUGAGGAAGGUGGGGAUGACGUCAAAUCAUCACGGCCCUUACGUCCUGGGCCACACACGUGCUACAAUGGCAGGUACAGAGAGCAGCCAUGUCGCAAGGCAGAGCGAAUCUAUAAAACCUGUCACAGUUCGGAUCGGGGUCUGCAACUCGACCCCGUGAAGCUGGAAUCGCUAGUAAUCGGAUAUCAGCCAUGAUCCGGUGAAUACGUUCCCGGGCCUUGUACACACCGCCCGUCAAGCCAUGGAAGCCGGGAGUGCCUGAAGUCCGUCACCGUAAGGAGCGGCCUAGGGCAAGAUCGGUAACUAGGGCUAAGUCGUAACAA
rnacentral:rRNA from 1 species